rnacentral:rRNA from 1 species
UACGGGGGGAGCAAGCGUUGUUCGGAUUUACUGGGCGUAAAGGGCGCGUGAGGCGCCACGCAAGUCGACUGUGAAAUCUCCGGGCUUACCCGGAACGGUCAGCCGAUACUGCAGGGCUAGAGUGCAGAAGGGCAACUGGAAUUCUCGGUGUAGCGGUGAAAUGCGUAGAUAUCGAGAGGAACACCUGCGGCGAAGGCGGGUUGCUGGGCUGACACUGACGCUGAUGCGCGAAAGCUAGGGGAGCGAACAGG